GAUAGUGUUUCAGACUAAAGGAGACCAAAAGAUCAUGACAACUAAAUGCGGUACCCAACCCUGCACUGAAUCCUGUGGAGGAGAAUGAAGUGCUGGAAAGAACAUUAUUAGACUGACUGACAAAAUCAGGAUACAGCUGCCAGAUUAGAUGAAAGAUUACAUCAAUGGUCUCCAAUUGGCUGAAUCCUCCUGGUAGCUGGUGGGCAAGGGAGCCUACUGAUGCGGUCUACAGAGGAACACAGAAAGCUGACAUUCAACAUCACCAAACAAAAGAGUUCUGAUUGUAUGUAGAAGAUUCUUGGAACUAGAAUGGUCAAAGAGUUCGAAACAAAAGUUUAAAAAAAGAAGUGCUGUUUUCCUGAAUAUUGGAAAUAAGACUUUUAAAAUCCGUAUUUUUCCUAAAGUAAUUUUCCAAAUUGUCAACCACAGCCAGUAGGAAGUAAACAGGAGAAUUCAUUAACAAGAGAGCAGCAAAAUUAAACCUGGAUGGAGAAAGUCUCCCAUUCAUUUUCCCUGGAAGUAGAACACCUGUCAGAUUUGACAAAAAGGUGAGUCAAAGAUCUCCUGUGACCAGAAAUGGUCUCUCCGGCCACUGACUCUACUGUCCCUCUUAGUUGCUGUGCCUUGUAACGAGUUUUUGUCCCACUCUCCAUGGUUCUACAACAGGACCCGUUCAACUUUAGAGACCAGACAUCACUGUAGUCACAGAUGCUCUCAUCUGCAUCAC
ensembl:lncRNA